UACGUAGGGGGCUAGCGUUGUCCGGAUUUAUUGGGCGUAAAGAGCGUGUAGGCGGCUAUGCAGGUCCGCUGUGAAAACUCGAGGCUCAACCUCGAGACGUCGGUGGAAACCGCAUGGCUAGAGUCCGGAAAAGGAGAGUGGAAUUCCCGGUGUAGCGGUGAAAUGCGCAGAUAUCAGGAAGAACACCCGUGGCGAAGGCGGUUCUCUGGGACGGUACUGACGCUGAGACGCGAAAGCGUGGGGAGCGAACAGG
rnacentral:rRNA from 1 species